rfam:Glossina morsitans morsitans, isolate Yale, WGS project CCAG01000000 data, contig: ctg10022505
GUUCUUGCUAGGGCAAAUCAUAUACUAAAAUUACAACGAUACAGAGAGGAUCGGCAUUGCAUCUUCACAACGAUGAGACGCAAAACCGUGAAGCGUUUCACAUUUUA